CUCCUGGACGGGCUUGCGGCUUAUCAGAUAGUUGGUGGGGUAACGGCCUACCAAGUCAGAGACGAGUACCCGGUGUGAGAGCACGGACGGGCAGAGGGGGACUGAGACACGGCCCCCACUCCUACGGGAGGCAGCAGCAGGGAAUCUUGCGCAAUGGGCGAAAGCCUGACGCAGCGACACCGCGUGAAGGAAGAAUGCCUUCGGGUUGUAAACUUCUUUUAUCAGGGAAGAGAUAGGACUGUACCUGAUGAAUAAGCCCCGGCUAACUACGUGCCAGCAGCCGCGGUAAUACGUAGGGGGCGAGCGUUGUCCGGAUUUAUUGGGCGUAAAGGGCGAGUAGGCGGCACGUCAAGUCCCAUGUGAAAUCUCCCGGCUUAACCGGGAGCGGUCAUGGGAAACUGUCGAGCUUGAGGACAGCAGAGGAGAGCGGAAUUCCCGGAGUAGUGGUGAAAUGCGUAGAUACCGGGAGGAACACCAGUGGCGAAAGCGGCUCUCUGGGCUGCCCCUGACGCUGAGGCGCGAAAGCAUGGGGAGCAAACCGGAUUAGAUACCCGGGUAGUCCAUGCCCUAAACGAUGAAUACUAGGCCUGGGGGGUAUCGACCCCC
rnacentral:rRNA from 1 species